CUCCCCCUGCCCUCCACCACGAGCUGCUGCUCCUCCUUAGCUCCAUGGCCAGCCAUGGCCAUGGGAACCUCUCCAAGAUGCAACUCCCUCCUCCCUCAAGCUCCCCCUCACCAUGAGAGCAUCUCUCUCACUCUCUUCUCCCCUAAUCUUUGUUGAGUCCAGCUCACUUUCUCCCUUCUCCUCUCACUAGAUUGGAUCUUGAUGCAGGUGCAUGUUGGUCCAAGCAUGGAGAAGGUUGAGCUAUCCUCAGAUCUGAAGUUCUUGAGCAAAAUCCAAAUCGCGUGAUUCAAAGUUCCACAGAUAGGCAUUGAAAAGAUCUACAACUUGGCGUUGGUCUCAUCCUCAAAUUCGUUACGGAUUUUGCAUGAUCAAGAUCUGGUCAGAUCUGACUUUGUCGAAUUAAACCAGGAGCUUGGGAACGAAUUUUUGAGUGAAACAAAUUGGGGGGUACUUAGCUUGUGCCAUGGUGAUACCAAGAGAGGCAAUUGCUAAGUUAUGAUACUCUCAUACCUUUACUAGAUGCGAACAAUUCCGGAGAAGAAGAAGAAGUGGAAUCGGACGAGGAUUUUAUUUAUGUUGUUGGGAUUCUUAUAUUGAUGGAGUUGAAGAAGUACAGGGACAAAUAAGCCAAGGCAAGCCAUCUUUUGACCUCUUGCUUUUUAUCCUUCUUGUUGUGCUCAUUGCUCCAUUAUAUACUUGGUUCCUUGUAUCAUGUGUGAUUUUUGGUCCUCUACUCUAUGCAUACUUAUUCCCAAAGUAUGUUGAACCCCUUGUUGAUGCUUUGCAUACUUGCUCCCAAGUAUGUGAACCCCCUUGUUGAUGUUAUGCAUGCUUACCCUAAGCAUGUAUGCCCCCUUGACCAUAUCCAUGUUGUCAUCUUCUUAGUGGUAUGAUGAUUAACAUCAUGACCCCUGUUUGAAUCAUCUUAAUUAUGUUGUCCCUAUACAUGCUUAUCCUAAGUAUGUAUGAUCC